AUACGGAGGGUGCAAGCGUUAAUCGGAAUUACUGGGCGUAAAGCGCACGCAGGCGGUUGAUUAAGUCAGAUGUGAAAUCCCCGAGCUUAACUUGGGAACUGCAUUUGAAACUGGUCAGCUAGAGUCUUGUAGAGGGGGGUAGAAUUCCAGGUGUAGCGGUGAAAUGCGUAGAGAUCUGGAGGAAUACCGGUGGCGAAGGCGGCCCCCUGGACAAAGACUGACGCUCAGGUGCGAAAGCGUGGGGAGCAAACAGGAUUAGAUACCCUGGUAGUCCACGCUGUAAACGAUGUCGACUUGGAGGUUGUGCCCUUGAGGCGUGGCUUCCGGAGCUAACGCGUUAAGUCGACCGCCUGGGGAGUACGGCCGCAAGGUUAAA
rnacentral:rRNA from 1 species